rnacentral:lncRNA from 10 species
CUCCUCCUCCUUCCUGAUCCAGCUCACCUUCACGCUGGUGCCCUUCUUUGAGGAGGUGUCAGAGCAUCUGCGGUUGGCAGCCUUUGAGAUCUAUGAGAGUCUCUUGGCCAAGGUCAAGAAGAGAAGCCUUGUCUUCCCCUUGAAGCACCAGAUCCUCAACUUGCUAGUCCCCCUGGUGCUCCACCUGAGGGACGUAAAUACCGACGUGGCUCUGAUCUGCCGGUCUGCCCUCUGCCACACAGCUGCCAUGCUGGGCUGGUCAAAGCUGAAAGCAGUAUUUGCAGAGAAAGACGUGUGGAACAUUCUUGGAGCCCUGGUAAGCCAGCAGCUUGCUCACUGUCUGCUCCUACGCAAGGGAGGGUGGCGUCCCCAGCAGUCUAGGUCGUUUUCCUGCAGCUCUGGGGUUUGCAGCAGUAGUGGCAGCGGCAACAGCAACAGUUCAAUGAUGAGAUACUCAUUAAGCACCUACUAUGUGAUUGGCACCUAGAUAUAGUUCCUGCCCUCCCCUUGUUUCCUGUCUGAAUUGGGGAGCUAGACACACAAGUAGACAAUCUCAGCAUACUUCGGGAAAGGCAAAGGAGGGGUACCCAGCACAGUCUGGAAGUUGAAGGAAGGCUUCCUGGAGGAGGUGUCAUCUUCAGAAGGAGAAAUAUAAGGCAGGGUAACACUUAGGCAAAGGGAAGGAAUGAAGAGUGCAGGCCAAGGUGAUGCUAUACAUAGGGGUGUGGAGCAGAGCACACAUUAUCUGGUAUGAUUUGAUCCUUACAACCAUCCUGAGAAAUAAGGGCAGAAGGGCCUGGUGUGUAGGGAGCUAUUAAUGUAAGUGCCUUGGAAUCAUUAGAGCAGGGGCAGAAAAGGCAAAUGCUUACAAGGUCAUGCAGGAAACACUAACCAG